CGCCGUACUUUUCCACGUGCUGCUUGCCCUGUAAUUAGAAACUGAAGUCAGAUUACAGCGUUAUGCCGAGGAGCGGUUCUCUCACACUGCGCGCUACCACCGAACAUGCCCACUCCCGUUACCCGGAAGUAAGCAGAAUUCCCAAAGAUGGCGGAGCAAGGUCCAAUGGCGAUAGCUAUGCGGCUAAGAAAUCAACUACAGAACGUUUAUAAACUUGAUCCUUUAAGAAAUGAGGAAGAAGUGAAGAUAAAAAUCAAGGACCUGAAUGAACACAUUGUGUGCUACCUGUGUGCGGGAUAUUUCAUUGAUGCCACAACUAUUACUGAGUGUCUUCAUACCUUCUGCAAGAGUUGCAUUGUGAAAUACCUCCAGACCAGCAAAUAUUGUCCUAUGUGUAACAUCAAAAUUCAUGAAACACAGCCCUUGCUAAAUCUUAAGCUGGACAGAGUAAUGCAAGACAUAGUUUACAAACUUGUUCCAGGUCUACAGGAGAGUGAAGACAAAAGAAUCAGGGAAUUUUAUCAGUCAAGAGGUCUUGAGCGCAUCAUACAACCGUUAGGGGAUGACUCGUUGCCAGAUAAUACAGGAUUACCGUACACCAGCUUUGAUCACUCUAAAGCCCAUUUCUACAGAUAUGAUGAACAAGUCUCGCUAUGUCUAGAGAAACAAAGCUCAUCAUUAUCUGGAAAAGACAAAAAUAAAUUAACUUUACAGCAGAAGUUUGUGCGCUGCUCAGUCCGAGCCGAGGUCAGACACCUGAGGAAAGUUUUGUGCCAUCGACUCAAUGUGGAGAGGCACCAGGGAAGUAGCAGUGGUGUAGCAUUGAUGAUAAUCAGGUGACGCUUAAGAUGGAUCAAGCAGCACACGUUUGUUUCCUUACCACUCAACUGGAAAUGAACACCAUGUCUUCUUGGAGAUGGUUGGCUUCAGUAGUUGAUGGAUACGUAAUGAUAGAAAAAAUGAAGUUGUACAAUACAAAGAAGUACAAUUAACAGGAAAAUCUCUCAUACAGCAAAUAUGGGUCCUUUUACACACCUGUCCAACAUUUGAUUUUGGAACUGUAAUGCCGAUCAAACGGUAACAAUUUAGCACUUUAUUUCUCCUUUAAUAUUUAACUGUCCUGUAAAUGUUUUCAUGAGACAGCAGAGGAAAGGGACAUGAAGUAAUAAUAAUUUAUGCAUAUUAAAUUCUCAAAAAUAACUAACACAUGAGGUAUGAAAUACACAUAUCCUCAAGCAGAGCUAACCAGAGAACCUCAGAACAACUACUCUAAUACUACAGUGCUAUCAAUUCAUAAAUGUUGAUUCUACUACUCGCUGGGAAGUCUAAAUCAAGGCUUCUAUUUUGCAACCAGGGACCCCUUUAGUGAAGAUUUAUUUUAUGAACAUAAUACAACUAUUGAGAUGUUAUUCUCAUUUUUCAAAUGUGCACAAUAAUAGUUUGUCUAUUUGUUAGAGCCAUAGAGCUUUUUAUUACUGAACUUUCCCAAUCAGUUCAAGUGACCAAAUGGACUAAUAACUAUGAGAACUCCAAUAAUUAAUAUACCAACUUUGAGUAUUUAUAUUGCUAAACCAUUGUACCAUAAUUUGAGAGCCAUGGGUCUAAGAACCUUUUUCUCAGCAGUAAUUAAGACCCUUGUUGAACCCAGCCCAUGUUAUGUUCCAGGUUGAAAGAAAACCUUUCUUUGUUCUGUCUUCUGCUCUUAUUGUGUUAGGUCCAGAUGCUUUUUAAUAAUGAAUCUCUACCAGAUCACAUGACCAUGAAGCGUCUCUGGCUGUCACACUGGUUUGGAAAGGCUCAACCACUGGUUCUUCACUAUGCCAUCAAGGACAAGAGAGUAAGAUAGGAUAGUAAAAU